rnacentral:rRNA from 1 species
UACGGAGGGUGCAAGCGUUAUCCGGAUUCACUGGGUUUAAAGGGUGCGUAGGCGGGCAGGUAAGUCAGUGGUGAAAUCUUCGAGCUUAACUCGGAAACUGCCGUUGAUACUAUCUGUCUUGAAUCCCGUGGAGAUGAGCGGAAUAUGUCAUGUAGCGGUGAAAUGCUUAGAUAUGACAUAGAACACCAAUUGCGAAGGCAGCUCGUUACACGAAGAUUGACUCUGAGGCACGAAAGCGUGGGGAUCAAACAGG